rnacentral:rRNA from 1 species
UACGGAGGAUGCAAGCGUUAUCCGGAUUUAUUGGGUUUAAAGGGUGCGCAGGUUGUUUGAUAAGUCAGUGGUGAAAGUCUGUCGCUUAACGGUAGGAUUGCCAUUGAUACUGUUGGACUUGAAUAUGGAUGAGGUAGGCGGAAUGUGUAGUGUAGCGGUGAAAUGCAUAGAUAUUACACAGAACACCGAUAGCGAAGGCAGCUUACUAAUCCAUCAUUGACGCUGAGGCACGAAAGCGUGGGGAUCAAACA